AUUGAACGCUGGCGGCAGGCCUAACACAUGCAAGUCGAGCGGAUGAGUGGAGCUUGCUCCAUGAUUCAGCGGCGGACGGGUGAGUAAUGCCUAGGAAUCUGCCUGGUAGUGGGGGACAACGUUUCGAAAGGAACGCUAAUACCGCAUACGUCCUACGGGAGAAAGCAGGGGACCUUCGGGCCUUGCGCUAUCAGAUGAGCCUAGGUCGGAUUAGCUAGUUGGUGGGGUAAAGGCCUACCAAGGCGACGAUCCGUAACUGGUCUGAGAGGAUGAUCAGUCACACUGGAACUGAGACACGGUUCAGACUCCUACGGGAGGCAGCAGUGGGGAAUAUUGGACAAUGGGCGAAAGCCUGAUCCAGCCAUGCCGCGUGUGUGAAGAAGGUCUUCGGAUUGUAAAGCACUUUAAGUUGGGAGGAAGGGCAGUAAGCUAAUACCUUGCUGUUAUGACGUUACCAACAGAAUAAGCACCGGCUAACUUCGUGCCAGCCGCCGCGGUAAGAC
rnacentral:rRNA from 1 species